GUUAUGACCAUUGAACUAUAAAUAAACUGGAAGGCUAACUCAGGGGGGGGGGGGAAUUGAAGCCAGUGCAUUUUAGUUUUUCUGAGUUAUGAGCAGAAAUACUCAACACUGAACGUUGGGCUAUAUAUCAAAUUGAAGCUAUUGAAAAACGCUAUUUGGUGUGGAAAUUUCAAGACUUUAGCUAAAAGGGAAAUAUUGAAAAACUACAAACAUAAUUACCGAUAAUUUGCCGUUUUGCAGUUGUUUUCGUAUUUUUUAAAUAUUUUUCUUUUCGCUGAAGUCUUGAAAUUUCCACACCGAAUAGCAAUUUUCAAUAGCUUCAAUUUGAUAUAUAGCCCGUCGUUUGGGGUCAAGUAUUUCUGCUCAUAACUCAGAAAAACUAUUUUGGCUUCAUCAAAUCAUAGGCCUUCAUCAUAGCA